rnacentral:rRNA from 1 species
CACACACCUUAAUAACACGUGGCUAACCUGCCCUUGGGACAAGAAUACCCCCGGGAAACUGGGGCUAAUUCUCGAUAGGUGAAGAACUCUGGAAUGAGUCUUCGCUUAAAAGAGGCUGGGGUUAUGCUCUCCAGUUUCGCCCAAGGAUGGGGCCGCGACCGAUCAGGUUGUUGGUGAGGUAAUGGCUCACCAAGCCUUUUACCGGUGCGGGCCGUGGGAGCGGGAGCCCGGAGAUGGGCACUGAGACAAGGGCCCAGGCCCUACGGGGCGCAGCAGUCGCGAAAACUUUGCAAUAAGCGAAAGCUUGACAGGGCUAUCCCGAGUGCCAUCCGCUGAGGAAGGCUUUUACCCAGUCUAGAACGCUGGGGGAAUAAGGAGAGGGCAAGUCUGGUGUCAGCCGCCGCGGUAAUACCAGCUCUCCGAGUGGUGUGGAUGUUUAUUGGGCCUAAAGCAUCCGUAGCUGGCUAGGUUAGUCCCCUGUUAAAUCCACCGAAUUAAUCGUUGGAUUGCGGGGGAUACUGCUUGGCUAGGGGACGAGAGAGGCAGACGGUAUUUUCGGGGUAGGGGUGAAAUCCUAUAAUCCCGGGAAGACCACCAGUGGCGAAGGCUGUCUGCUAGAACGCGCCCGACGGUGAGGGAUGAAAGCUGGGGGAGCGAACC